UUUGGUUACUCGACACCAACAUUGACGUCAUUGUCAUGGCAACACAGUCCCUCCUACCGCGAGCCCGGACAGACAUACGCUUAUUAUCCUAGCAGGGUAUCUGAUGACCGGCAGGGCAUGAGAUCUACCUAGAUCUCAAGCUUGAACCACAACCAAAAACCGCCCACAGGGCUACACCAAUCAGAGGUCAUAGAUGAGCUGUCCCAGAGGAAAAUGAAAGUCAGUAGUGGAGUUGAGAGUUACAUCACUGCCCUUCUUAUCAUAUCUCUGAACACUGCAUGGGAUCCUUAUUUCAGAUGAGCAGAGGGGUGUACCAGAGGACCACAGGUAUGUUCCUAUCUGGGGCAACAUGAUGUUUUUCACCAUGCUUCUGUGAUUCUUUACUGGUUAAUAGACCACCCACAACUUACUGUAAAAGUCAGUGUUUUUGUGGCGUGAUAAAUAGAAGAAUCAAUACACGCUCUGAUUAAUUUUAAAGGUUUCUGUGAAAUGUGUGUCUAGGUAGUUUUACUGGGCUGGAAAUUACAAAGGCUAUCAGCGCUUAAAAACGGAUGCUUGCAGGCUGGAUUGGCAGGUUUACAACACCUCGCCAUAUUGCCAAAAUAUGGAUUGCUUUUUUUUUCCAGUAUUUUACCUUGUGGCUACAAUCAGAGUGUGCUUGACCCAUAAACUAAGAAAUGGGCAUUCUUUCAUUUUGAGUUUCUUCACCAACUUUGUUGUUGUGGUCUGGAAAAAAACAAACAAGCUUUUUGUUGUGUUUUUUGCUUAUUUUCUGUCAAAUAUAUGCCAAUGCAAUGGAGAUCAAACACGGACAAUUUUUCAAGUAUGAACGUCAUGAGCGUGGGUUCCCUCCGGGUACUCCGGCUUCCUCCCACCGUCCAAAGACAUGCAACUUGUGGG